GUGAUUAUUCCUAAACGAUCUUGAUGUGUCACUGAAAUGAUAAUCAAUGUGAUGUUAUCCCUAACUCAGUGUCAAACAAAGGGUCAGGCACCGGGAGAGUCAGUGUGCGAGCUAUGUGCCACAGGUCCCUGAAGAAAAAGAUUGUCCUCAAAGACUCCUCCCCAGUGCAGCUGUAUGAGACGGUGUGCUCGUGUGCUGCUGACAAGGCACUUUCCAACCAUACCGUUGCUCUCCUUUUUCAGACGGCGACCUACUCUCACCUCCACCUCCUUGCUGUACCCCCAGUCCUUAGCUGCACCGAGACAGCGCAACGCUGGCACAAGCCAAGGACUAUGGAGCACUCUCUACACGGCGAUGCAGGGGGGGGAUGUGCAUGAUCCUGAUGUUUUAAAAGUGACAGAAGCAUAUGAAGGCUUUUCACCUGACAUAGCACCCCUUAUUACCACCAUGUCCAUCAGUGCUGAUGUCCCGCUGGUCGAGUCAGCUUUGGGCAAAGUUCAGGAGGGAAGCCCGAUCUCUUACCAGCAGCCAGUGCCACUCAGCCGCAUCAUGUUACUCCACACUGGAGCUCCUCCACCCCCACCUCUGCCCUCGGAUGGCUACAGAUUGGAGCCCACUUGUUGCCAGUUUGUGUGCAGUCUCCACCAGCAACUGCAUCUGCAAUCUCUACAGACCAACUUGGAAAUGACAAGGGGAAUAGAAGUGGCAACGAGGGACCAGACUAUGUCUGUGGAGUGGCAUCGGGUCAGAAAGAUGAGAUUAACAUCUUCUCACUUUAGGGAGGUUUGUCAUGUUCGUGGUCAGACAUCAGCAGUACAUCUCGCUGAAAGACUGUUCAGGGGGUGUGGCCCAAACAUUGGUCAUGAAAAGAGGUCUGGCAUUGGAGCCACAGGCCAUUCAAGAGUACUGUAAAGUGAAGAACAACAGCUACUGGCCUUGUGGCUUCGUCAUACACCCUGAUGGCCCCCUGGUUAGGAUCUUCUCCCAAUGGGGUUGUUUUUUUCAAGAGUUAUGUUUACUGCAAAUACCUGAAGCUCCACAAUGACUCUAUGAAGCUAAAAAAGCAACACAGCUACUACUGGCAGAUCCAAGGGCAACUCCUUCUGACAGGUAUGGACUGGUGUGACUUUGUUGUUUUUGCAGAGGAGGACAUGGUCAUUCACAGAAUAUACAAGGACCCAGAGGAGGCUGCAGUCAUCGGGCAGAAGGGGGAUUUUUUCUUUUUCUACUUUCACUUAUGUUCCGUGAAUCACUUUAAACUUGAAUCACCCUAUUCUCCCUAGGUAUGUGUUUGUGUACAAUUUAAGCUCAUAGUUGUCAUUACAAAGUACACAUGUACGUGUCUGUAAAUAGUUUCAUGUUUAUUAUGUAUAAGUUAUCAAUACAAACCUAUAUAAGGUGCCUUUUUUUAUGUAAUGUAUAUAGUUGUCAUUACAAACCUAUACGAGGUGCUUUUUGUUUAUGUAAUGUAUACAUUUGUCAUUACAACCCUAUACAAGGUGCCUUGUUAUUGUUAAGUGUUCAGCUCAAAGACAGAUGCUGCUAUUUCUGUGUGCAGUUAAAUGUCAACAGUUCUCUACAAACCCAUGAUGUUCAUCCAGUACUGACUUAAGUCAUACAGUUGUGUAUGUACAAACAUAACUAAAAUAUACAUGCCUGUAGCAUGCUUGUGCAUAUAGUUAUCACUACAAACCUAUACAUGGUGCGUUAUGUUACUUUUGGGUGUUUAGCUCAUUUAUCUUGACACAACAGUCAUCUGUAACUAUAGGCCCAUCUCCAACCUACCAUUUCUCAGCAAGAUAAUAGAAAAAACGGUUGCUUUUCAGCUCAAUUAUUAUCUAACGUUAAACAACCUCCUGGAUAAUUAUCAAUCAGGCUUUCGGCCUUAUCACAGCACAGAAACCACACUUAUUAAAGUUGUGAAUGAUCUGCAUAUAAAUACUGACUCUAAUAAAUUAUCUGUUCUUGUGCUUCUGGACCUCAGUGCCGCCUUUGACACCGUUGACCAUCAGAUUUUAUUACACAGAUUAGAAACAUGGGUCGGCCUGUCUGGUCCAGUCUUAAACUGGUUUAGAACUUACCUGUUGGAUAGGCAAUUCUUUGUGUCCAUUGGGGAUUUUGUCUCGGACAAAAGGGCCACUAUGUGUGGAGUUCCCCAAGGUUCAAUUCUUGGACCAUUAUUGUUUAAUCUCUACAUGCUCCCACUAGCACAUGUUAUAAAGAAACACAACAUAAAUUACCAUAAUUAUGCAGAUGAUUCACAGCUAUACAUAUCCUUAACUCCUAAUGACAUGAAUCCCAUACACUCUCUAAUCAAUUGUAUCGGUGAUGUUAAUAUGUGGAUGUCAGAGAAUUUCCUACAACUAAACAAGGAUAAAACAGAAAUACUUAUCUUUGGUGCUAAGGCUCAAAGACAGAAAAUUGUGGCUUAUCUCAGUUCUCUGUCUCUAGAGAGCAAAAGCGAAGCUAUAAAUCUGGGUGUUAUAUUAGACAGUGAUUUAAAUUUUAAGCGUCAUAUCAACCAAGUCACAAAAUCAGCCUUCUACCAUCUUAAACAUAUUUCUAAAUUAAGGGUCUUUCUGUCAAAGGAAGACGCUGAAAAAUUUAAAAAUUGAUCCAUGCAUUUAUAACAAGUAGAUUAGAUUACUCUAACGGUCUUUUCACCGGCAUUCCAAAAUCAACUGUGCAGCGAUUACAAUUAAUUCAAAAUGUGGCUGCACGUGUUCUGACUGGAACAAAGAAGUUUGAACAUAUUACACCUGUCCUUAGACUUUUACACUGGCUCCCAGUAAAGGCUAGAAUUGAUUUUAAGAUUCUGCUCCUAGUAUAUAAAGCUCUCAAUGGCCUUGCACCUCAGUAUAUUAGAGACAUGCUCAUUAUAUAUGAACCAGCAAGACUCCUCAGAUCCACAGGCAGUGGUCUUUUAACUGUCCCUCGCUGUAACUCCAAAACAGGGGAGGCUGCUUUUUGUGUCUAUGCCCCAAAGAUAUGGAAUACCCUGCCAGUGGAACUGAGAGAGGUCUCCACACUGAACAUUUUUAAAAAAGGGAUAAAAACCUUUCUUUUUACAAAGGUUUAUGAUUAACAGAGUUUGUCGCUGUUCAAUGUUGAUCUUUUUAAGUGUGUGUGUUUGUGUGUGUGUGCCUAAUAUCCUCUGUAUACUA